rnacentral:rRNA from 1 species
ACAGAGGUCCCAAGCGUUGUUCGGAUUCACUGGGCGUAAAGGGUGCGUAGGUGGCUAGGCAAGUUUGGUGUGAAAUCUCCGAGCUUAACUCGGAAACGGCACUAAAAACUGCUUGGCUGGAGGGUCGGAGGGGAGGCUGGAAUUCUCGGUGUAGCAGUGAAAUGCGUAGAUAUCGAGAGGAACACCAGUGGCGAAAGCGAGUCUCUGGACGACUCCUGACACUGAGGCACGAAAGCUAGGGGAGCAAACAGGAUUAGAUACCCUGGUAGUCCUAGCUGUAAACGGUGCACAUUUGCCGUGAGAGGAUUCGACCCCUUUCGUGGUGGAGCUAACGCGUUAAAUGUGCCGCCUGGGGAGUACGGUCGCAAGAUUA